AAUGAUGGGCUAUGGGAAGACAACUGUGAGGAUGAUUAUAUCGCAAGUGCUUAGCUAUUCAUUUUGUGAUUGGUUCUUUUUCAAGGACAAUAGUUAAUUAUAGUGUCGGAUGUCAAACAACAGUCUCAAAUAUUGUGAUGGCCAGUACUGUGAUUUUGUUCCUGCAAUUAUUUGCAAGGCUCUUAUACUAUACCCAUAUGGAUAUCCUUGCUGCUUUCAUCCUCUCUGCACUUCCUGGAUUAAUCGAUGUAAAUGAGGUUUGCUAUAUCUGAAAGGUUGACAAGUUAGACUUUCUUGCCUGUGAUGGCAAGUACUGUGAUUUUGUUGCUGCAAUUAUUUGAAAGGCUCUUAUACUACACCCCUAUGGCUAUCCCUGUUGCUAUCAUCCUAUCUGCACUUCCUGGAUUAAUCGAUGUAAAUGAGGCUCGCUAUAUCUAGAAGUUUGACAAGUUAGACUUUCUGGCCUGUAUUGGAGCUUUCGUUGGUGUCUUGUUUGCAUCUGUAGAGAUUGGUCUCCUUGUAGCUGUGAAAAUCUCAUUUGCAAAGAUAAUCAAUUUGACCUGGAGUAGGAAUUCUAGGUAGAGUUCCAAGAACAGAAGCCUUAUGUGAUGUAACUCAAUAUCCGAUGGUUGUAAGCACGCCUGACAUCAUAGUGAUUCUCAUAAGUUCCAGCUCACUCUGCUUUGGAAAUGCCAAUUUUGUCAAAGAAAGGCAAGCACUUAACAAGAUCUAGAAAAGGGUUUAGCUCUAAUAACAGCUAUUUGGAAGGAUUGCAUGCAUUGAUCCCUUAGAACAGAUAAAUCUAAGAUGCAUUCGCAUUGUCAAAAGUGUAGCAGUCGACCAUGGUGGAUGUGCCAUGUGCGGCGAACAAUGAAAUCUUUGGCUAGGGACGGUGAAUAAUAGUAAUCAUUCAAGUGAUUUGGUUGUGUUAAUUCAUAUGAAUCUUUUUGGGUUAAUCUUGAUUAUUAAUAUUAUUACUAUCUUUUAUGUAUACUCAGACUUGUGAUUUGUUUGUGUUUUCAUGUUUAGUAUAAUGUAUUGUCAACAUAGUUGAUGUCAUCAUGUGACUCUUUGGGUCGGGGCAUGUUCAUUUCGAUUAUGUCUAUAAUUAGAUUAUUUUCCUGGUUC